rnacentral:rRNA from 1 species
AUUGAACGCUGGCGGCAGGCCUAACACAUGCAAGUCGAGCGAGCGGCGGACGGGUGAGUAAUGUAUGGGGACUGCCCGAUAGAGGGGGAUAACUACUGGAAACGGUGGCUAAUACCGCUUACUACUGGAUAACCCAUAUGGGAUUAGCUAGUAGGUGGGGUAACGGCUCACCUAGGCGACGAUCCCUGGCGGGUCUGAGAGGAUGAUCGGCCACACUGGGAAUGGGACACGGCCCAGAGUCCUACGGAUGCAGCAGUGGGGAGUAUUGCACAAUGGACGCAAGCCUGAUGCAGCCAUGCCGCGUGUAUGAAGAAGGCCUUAGGGUUGUGAAGUACAAUCAGCGGGGAGGCGUUACCCGCAGAAGAAGCACCGGCUAACUCCGUGCCAGCAGCCGCGGUAAUAC